AGCAGAGCCUCUGGAUGGACCCUUCCUCAGAAGCUUUGCUCAUUUGCAGAAGCUGGGCAAUGCUCCUCAUUAACAUCUGUCUGUCCGCAUAGUCUGGCGUCAUUUCACUGUGGUGGAAGGGACUCAGCUCCGAAUUCUGUGUAGAAAAAAAAAAACACCUGGAUCUCAGUCUUUCAAUGACUUCAAGACAACCAGAGGUGCCUACUCUUGCUCCCAGCGGGCCCCUAGGCAAGAUGUCCCUGCCCAUUGGGAUGUGCCGCCGGGCAUUCAGCUAUGAUGAUGCCCUAGAGGACCCUGCGCCCAUGACUCCUCCUCCAUCGGACAUGGGCAGCAUCCCCUGGUAGCCAGUGAUUCCAGAGCGCAAGUAUCAGCAUCUUGACAAGACAGAGGAGGGAGCGGCCAGUGUCUCUUCCCUUGCUGUGACUCCAUCACCAGCCACUGACAGUUCAGACAAGACCCCUGUGGUGAAGGCUAAGGCUACCCAUGUCAUCAUGAGUUCUCUGAUCACAAAGCAGAUCCAGGACAGCAUCCAGCGUUUUGAGUAGCAGGCAGGACUGAGAGAUGCUGGCUACACACCCCAUAAGGGCCUCACCACGGAGGAGACCAAGUACCUUCGCAUGGCAGAAGCACUCCAUAAACUAAAGCUGCAGAGUGGAGAGACAGCAAGAGAAGAGAAGCACCCCACAUCAGCCCAGUCCACCCUGAGCAGCACCCCUCACGCGUCCCCUAAGCAGAAGUCCAGGGGCUGGUUCCCAUCUGGCUCCUCCACAGCCUUACCUGCUCUGAAUCCUCAUACCAUGGAUCCUGGGAGUGGAAAUGAUAGGAAUACUAAGGCCUCUUGA